GCGGAUAUUGCAUAGUGGUAGUGCCCUUGCCUUCCAAGCAAGAGGUGCGGGUUCGAUUCCCGCUAUCCGCUCCA
rnacentral:tRNA from 2 species